rnacentral:rRNA from 1 species
CAAUAGCGUAUAUUAACGUUGUUGCAGUUGAAAAGCUCGUAGUUGAACUUUUGGUAGGAGCGACCUGGCCUUGGGCGCAUGCCCUUGUUUGCCGUGUGUCGUGUCUGGCCAUCCUUUUCCGCUUCGGCGGGAAUCUUUUACUGUGAGUAAACUGGAGUGCUCAAAACAAGACGUUUGUUUGGUACAUUAAAGCAUGGAAUAAUAAGAUAGGACCUGGUUACUAUUUUGUUGGUUUGCAUAGCUAGGUAAUGAUUAACAGGGACAGUUGGGGGUAUUCGUAUUUAAUUGUCAGAGGUGAAAUUCUUGGAUUUAUGAAAGACGAACGACUGCGAAAGCAUUUACCAAGGAUGUUUUCAUUAA